GUCCCUGUGGCGCAAUGGAUUAGCGUAUUGGACUCCUAAUCCAAAGGUUAUGGGCUCGAAUCCCAUCAGGGACU